rnacentral:lncRNA from 1 species
AAUUGUGCAGACAAUAGGGUCCCAUUUGCAGGGUACGCUGACGGGUGCAAUGAACAAACUGGCCGGGAAUGGUGGAUCGAGUAUCUCAGGAUGAAUCACCGGAGCUACUAACCCGGCUUGACCUCCGGCCACUCUACCUGCCUCAAAACUGUCGGCGUCUGAACUUUUCUGUUUUUUUGAGUAACUAGUAGUACUAGGUUUUUUUAGGGGAGAAUAAUAACUAGGCUGCUAUACAUGGAAAUCACAGGUUGAGUUCGUCGUCGUCGCCAGUUCUUUGCCGAGGACAAGGAACUGUUUUUAGGGGUGCCUACUGCCUAGACAACACGAAUCUUCGGGAGGGACAACAGCAAGUAAUCAAGGAUCCGAUGAUUGUGACCCUAAAAAGGAAGAUCCAAUGAUUAAGGUGACACGCCAAUCGGGGAAAAUAAAGUUACCGCUAAAUAUCGCGGGCAAAAGGGAAAUCCAUGGCUACGGAUGAGUUCGCGGAUUCUUUGAGUGAUCCGAGGGGCAACUUCGCAUCUGUCAAAACCGUCGGUGCACGGUGCAUGCAUGAUUGUCAGCAAAGUACGGGGACUGUGUAAAAUAUCAUGAAAAAUAUAGGAUCAUGAGCUCGACACUAGGGCAUGGUAACACUAGGGCGUACCAUUACUUGCAUGUUCUCUGCUCCCUCCGUUCAUAAAUAUAGGUCUUUAAAAAAUUUUCAUUAGUGAACUACAUACGGAUGUAUAUAGACAUAUUUUAGAGUAUACAUUCACUCAUUUUGCUUCGUA